UACGUAGGAGGCAAGCGUUGUCCGGAAUUACUGGGCGUAAAGAGCUCGUAGGUGGUUUGUCGCGUUGUUCGUGAAAACUCACAGCUCAACUGUGGGCGUGCGGGCGAUACGGGGCAGACUGGAGUACUGCAGGGGAGACUGGAAUUCCUGGUGUAGCGGUGGAAUGCGCAGAUAUCAGGAGGAACACCGGUGGCGAAGGCGGGUCUCUGGGCAGUAACUGACGCUGAGGAGCGAAAGCGUGGGGAGCGAACAGG
rnacentral:rRNA from 1 species